rnacentral:rRNA from 1 species
GACGAACGCUGGCGGCGUGCUUAACACAUGCAAGUUGAACGGGUCAUAUAUGAAGGGUAACCGGAGUGUAUGGCUAGUGGCGAACGGGUGAGUAAUGCAUGAGAACGUAUCCUCAAGAGGGGGACAACAUUGGGAAACCGAUGCUAAUACCCCAUAAGCCGGGAGGUAAAAGGAGCAAUCCGCUUGGGGAGCGGCUCAUGUCCUAUCAGCUGGUUGGUGAGGUAACGGCUCACCAAGGCGAAGACGGGUAGCCGGCCUGAGAGGGUGAACGGCCACACUGGAACUGAGAGGCGGUCCAGACUCCUACGGGAGGCAGCAGUGGGGAAUAUUGGGCAAUGGGGGAAACCCUGACCCAGCGACGCCGCGUGAGGGAAGAAGGCCUUAGGGUCGUAAACCUCUGUUGUGUGGGAAGAAGAGCGUGACGGUACCACACGAGGAAGUCCCGGCUAACUACGUGCCAGCCGCCGCAGUAA